UAAGCAGUAAGGCUGAGUAUUAGGCAAAUCCGGUACUCGUUAAGGCUGAGCUGUGAUGGGGAGAAGACAUUGUGUCUUCGAGUCGUUGAUUUCACACUGCCGAGAAAAGCCUCUAGAUAGAAAAUAGGUGCCCGUACCGCAAACCGACACAGGUAGUCAAGAUGAGAAUUCUAAGGUGAGCGAGCGAACUCUCGUUAAGGAACUCGGCAAAAUGACCCCGUAACUUCGGGAGAAGGGGUGCUCUUUAGGGUUAACGCCCAGAAGAGCCGCAGUGAAUAGGCCCAAGCGACUGUUUAUCAAAAACACAGGUCUCUGCUAAACCGUAAGGUGAUGUAUAGGGGCUGACGCCUGCCCGGUGCUGGAAGGUUAAGAGGAGUGGUUAGCUUCUGCGAAGCUACGAAUCGAAGCCCCAGUAAACGGCGGCCGUAACUAUAACGGUCCUAAGGUAGCGAAAUUCCUUGUCGGGUAAGUUCCGACCCGCACGAAAGGCGUAACGAUUUGGGCACUGUCUCAACGAGAGACUCGGUGAAAUCAUAGUACCUGUGAAGAUGCAGGUUACCCGCGACAGGACGGAAAGACCCCGUGGAGCUUUACUGUAGCCUGAUAUUGAAAUUCGGCACAGCUUGUACAGGAUAGGUAGGAGCCUUUGAAACGUGAGCGCUAGCUUACGUGGAGGCGCUGGUGGGAUACUACCCUAGCUG
rnacentral:rRNA from 1 species